rnacentral:rRNA from 1 species
AUUGAACGCUGGCGGCAGGCCUAACACAUGCAAGUCGAGCGAGCGGCGGACGGGUGAGUAUUGUAUGGGGACUGCCCGAUAGAGGGGGCUAACUCCUGGAAACGCUAGCUCAUAUCGCAUCCUAUCGGUUUACCCAUAUGGGAUUAGCUCGUAGGUGGGGUAAUGGCUCACCGAGGCGACGAUCCCUAGCUGGGCUGAGAGGAUGAUCAGCCAGACUGGGACUGAGACACGGCCCAGACUCCUACGGAGGCAGCAGUGGGGAAUAUUGCACAAGGGGCGCAAGCCUGAUGCAGCCAGGCCGCGUGUAUGAAGAAGGCCCUAGGGUUGUAAAGUACUUUCAGUCGGGAGGCGUUACCGACAGAAGAAGCACCGGCUAACUCCGUGCCAGCAGCCGCGGUAAUAC